rnacentral:rRNA from 1 species
UACGAAGGGGGCUAGCGUUGCUCGGAAUCACUGGGCGUAAAGCGCACGUAGGCGGAUUGCUAAGUCAGGGGUGAAAUCCUGGAGCUCAACUCCAGAACUGCCUUUGAUACUGGCGACCUUGAGUCCGGGAGAGGUGAGUGGAACUGCGAGUGUAGAGGUGAAAUUCGUAGAUAUUCGCAAGAACACCAGUGGCGAAGGCGGCUCACUGGCCCGGUACGUGACGCUGAGGUGCGAAAGCGUGGGGAGCAAACAGGG